GCGGGAUUAGUUAAACGGCUUAACGCUACCUUCCCAAGGUAGAGAAAGGGAUUCGACUUCCCUAUCCCGCUCAA
rnacentral:tRNA from 5 species